rnacentral:rRNA from 1 species
UACGGGGGGGGCAAGCGUUGUUCGGAAUUACUGGGCGUAAAGGGUCUGUAGGUGGCCAAUUAAGUCAGACGUGAAAUCCCUCAGCUUAACUGGGGAACUGCGUCUGAGACUGGAUGGCUCGAGUGCGGGAGAGGAAUGCGGAAUUCCAGGUGUAGCGGUGAAAUGCGUAGAUAUCUGGAGGAACACCGGUGGCGAAGGCGGCAUUCUGGACUGCAACUGACACUGAAAGACGAAAGCCAGGGGAGCAAACGGG